rnacentral:lncRNA from 1 species
GAGGCCUGUGAGGGCUGUGGGUUAGACCCAGGGUAGAAUUGCCAGUUCAACUUAGGAUGCCCUGACUUACAUUUUGGUUGAGAGUUCUUGUCUCCCCACUACCAGGUUGUUGUAUCACUAGCCUUUCCAGUUUCUCUCUUUAGAACUGAGUAUGUUUGUUCUUAUGCUACCAUCUCACCAGCAAGUUCUGGACAGGAGACAAACAAUGUAGGUUGUUUCCAAUGGGAUGCUCUUCAGACAAAUCUGAACAGCACAGUGAAACACAGAUAACAAGUUCCUGACGACCAGUCGUACUCACAGGAGGACCAAGCUUAGAAACCACCCUAAGUCACAGGUUAUUCGAUGCCAGGAAACAGCUCUAGAUGCAUCAUAUUUUCCACCCAUUCAUCAAUUUCAACCCAAAGAAGUAUCCUGUGUGCAGACACAGAAAGGAAAGGUCUUUUGCCUUCUCUUACAAAAGAAGCCAGUGUUUAGACUUGGAGUCUAUUCUAGACCAAUGAAAGGACAAGAAGCAGUGUGCUCGCCAUUAGACACCAUGAAGGCCUGGCUAGAGACACAACUUAAUCAGUGUCAAUAAAAGGGGCAUUGUCACGUCUGCUAUAUGUGGUAUGGUCUAGAAAGUAUUUCUUAAAAAGUAUUUCUCAGAAAGGAAGUCCCUAGCGAUACCCAAGAGAAAACAUUCUGAAGUUUGAAAAGGCUGCCAGAUGUUUCUCCCCUGUUGCAGGACCACAAUGCAUGGCAGAUGAUACACAACAUGAAGUUGGCACCAGCAGGCUGAACCUUCAGUGUUCCAGUAACAAAACCAUCAUUCAGGAGGGACAAGAACAAGACUUUUCUGACUCAAUUUAUGAGCUGCAUAUGAGUUGAGGAUAAUCAAACCUAAGAAUCCAAAACCAUGAAUCUGACUCUGUUAUAUACUUUAAUAAGGCAGCUGUAAUAAUUAAUACAGAGGAGACGUAAAGCCUUCUUGGGGCAUGAAGAGCAAAAGAUGUUUUAGAAAAGGCUUCUUGGACCAUCAGAAAGUUGAAUGUUAGGAUGAGUAGACAUUCCUGCCCCAGUAGAUACCAUGGGCAAAGCCUCAGAAAUUAAAUAAGGCUUGGUUUAAUGUGCUCUGUCUUGGCUUCCAUAAAAGGAUAACACACCCAGGAUGCUUUUUGUACCAAGGCAGUAAUCCUAUGAAAAUCUCACAAGGCCUCAUCAUCUCCCAGCAGCAGUGUCACAGCAGGGGGCCUCUGAACACCAUCAUGCUCUGGGUAAGGUUUCAACAUACAGGCUUUAGAGGGACAGGAACAUCCAACCUAUAGCAUAGGGCAUGACCUGAGACAGCCCUAGA